AUGGAGCAGUUUGGUAGCUCGUCGGGCUCAUAACCCGAAGGUCGUCGGUUCAAAUCCGGCU
rnacentral:tRNA from 1 species